UGUUAAGUUUUCAGCUUUUCUAAUGAGUUAACACGCUGUGCUGGGUGCCCUGUGAGCAUCAGGGAGCACUUUUGAGAAAGGAGCGUGCACAGGCAGAAGGAAAGGAGGAGGCUGGGAACAUGGGGUGGGGAAUUGUCCUCUCCAUUUCUGUGACAGAAAGCUCUUAUCUUGUCUCAAAUCAUCUUGUUACAUCAUACUCUGAAAGACAGGAAAGAAUAAAAAUCAUCGCCUCCAGAGGGCUGUUUCUCAGAAGACCCAUGGAUGACCCUUUCCUGCCCACGGGGAGCUGCUGACGCUUCUCCUUACAGUGCUUCUAAAUGAGAAAUUAAGAAUGAUGGGGAAUGUCAAGUGUAGCACUCUACAGUUUGCUUCCUGCUCCAGUCCAGCUCUUUUCUGAAAUAAGGGCACUAUCCAGUACAAGCCUGCCACUGGUAAUGAAGCACAAUUCCUACAUCAUCUCUAACUUGUGGGAAUGAACUUGGACACCCCUUCAGCAGAUGGUGAAGCAGUACCAUGAUAUUCUCUGCCUCAAAGACUCAACAUCUUAAUUUACAGCUUUGGUUAAGUUUAUUUUCAUUUUCUUCAUAACUAAUUUUAUGCAAAUUGGCAUGUUUCAGUAGCAAGCACUCCAUUUCUGUUAAUUCAGCAGCAGUGUGUACAGUGUGUACCAUUGCAGUAUGCUGUUAUUUUAGCAGAACUGGAAUCCAAACAUUGUACAAGCACAGUAAAUAUAAACCCCAUUUUCAAGCAUGCUCUUAGAACAGUGCUUCUCUCUUCUGUGCUACAACAGAUUUCUUUCAUUUCUUACUGCUAUUGCAUUCUAAAUAAUAAAUAAAUAAGUAAAUAAA